CAUAUCAGAUGAAGCUGCCACGGAAGAGUAUAUAAGCGCCGCCGGAGAAGUAGCAGGAAAUAAAGAUCGUAAGCUGAAGGAACGACUUCUACGCAAGUAUGGCGGUCAUGGUCAUAUUAGUAGCUUAAAGCAGGAAUUCUCAAAAACUAAAAAGAAGGAAAAUCUACCAAAAGAAGCCAAACGGACUCUGCUUAACUGGUGGAACAUUCAUUCCCAAUGGCCUUACCCCACCGCUCCAAUGAUAUAUGAAGGUCACCAGAUCCCCUCUCUGGCUUCUCUCAUAUGACCAUCCAAGUUUAGUUAUCUCAUGACCAUCCAAAUAUCGUUAAACUAAAUUCAAACACCUGAAAUAUGAUAUAAAGCGAUGUCUGGUUAAUGCAGGAAAGUAAUCAGCUUAUAUUUAUGGUACAAAAGCAGGAACCUCAUCCUUGUAGUUUUCAUUCAAAACUGCUUCAAACAAUCUUGUAAUUCCAGAACAAUGUGAUAUACAAAAUGACAACGCCAUCGCUUACGUGUAAAAA